rnacentral:lncRNA from 1 species
CAAAUUCUGAUGGUGCCUCAGCUUCUGCUGGAGCUGGCGUUCUCGUACAGAACGCACAUAAUUAAGGAAUCGAAAGGCAAUGUCACCUGUUCCACCAGCAACAUCCACAAGGAGCGUUCCUGGGGAAGGAUUCAUUUUGUGCACGAGGAUGUCCUUCCACACCCGAUGGAUCCCCAGGGACAUCGAGUCGUUCAUUACAUCGUACUUCUCGGCCACGUUUUCAAAGACCUGGUAAACUGCAGAGAGAGGGCGUGAGGAUGAGAUGCGACUGACUUAAAAUCGGCCCCGUGGAAACCAGACGGGGGAAACCCUCCUCGCUUCGGGGAGUCUGCCGCCGUGCGGAACCGGGAAAGGUCACCGGUAAACUCCUUACACCGAAUCUACGUGAAGAUCCCAUUGACCUUGCUGAGCGACAAAGGCCCCUUGGGAGAAAAAGCGGCUGUUCCCCUAACCCUUCUCCGGCUCCGCGAGGAUGAAACGAGUGGGAAUGACGCCAAUGCCGCUGCCGCACACCGGGCCUCCCCGCCCGGCCCGGCCCCGAGCCCCCCCGUAAACUGCAGCCCGGUCCCGGCCCCGCCGCCCUCACUUUUCUCCCUCCGCUCCGCCUCCGACACGUUCUGGAAGCCGAAGUGUGUCUCUGGUCCGGCGGCCCGGCCCCGUGCGGUACCGAGCAGCGCCCACAGAGCCCCGCCGCAGCGGGAGAGCAGCGCGCGGCCCGGGCACAGCCCCGCCGCCAUCUUGGAGGGCGCGUCCGCCGCUCCGCCACCGCGCGGGGUCUCCCCGGCGCUCAGCCCGCGCGGGCCGCCCGGCAGCCCCGGCCCCGGCCCCGCUCCUUCCGCUGCAGCGUACCGGCCGAGCGGCCCCGCGCCGUGCUGAGGGAGGGCUCCGGCUCACUCACUCCAACUGAGCCGUUUGCCAAAGC